CCUUGACAUACUAAGAACUUUCCAGAGAUGGAUUGGUGCCUUCGGGAACUUAGAUACAGGUGCUGCAUGGCUGUCGUCAGCUCGUGUCGUGAGAUGUUGGGUUAAGUCCCGNAACGAGCGCAACCCUUUUCCUUAUUUGCCAGCGGGUCAUGCCGGGAACUUUAAGGAUACUGCCAGUGACAAACUGGAGGAAGGCGGGGACGACGUCAAGUCAUCAUGGCCCUUACGGCCAGGGCUACACACGUGCUACAAUGGUCGGUACAAAGGGUUGCUACCUCGCGAGAGGAUGCUAAUCUCAAAAAGCCGAUCGUAGUCCGGAUCGCAGUCUGCAACUCGACUGCGUGAAGUCGGAAUCGCUAGUAAUCGCGGAUCAGAAUGCCGCGGUGAAUACGUUCCCGGGCCUUGUACACACCGCCCGUCACACCAUGGGAUUUGUUGCACCAGAAGUAGGUAGUCUAACCGCAAGGAGGACGCUUACCACGGUGUGGCCGAUGACUGGGGUGAAGUCGUAACAAGGUAAGCGUAGAUGA
rnacentral:rRNA from 1 species